rnacentral:rRNA from 1 species
UGGGGAAUUUUGGACAAUGGGCGCAAGCCUGAUCCAGCGACGCCGCGUGGAGGACGAAGGCCUUCGGGUUGUAAACUCCUUUUGGAGGGGAAGAAUAAAUUGACGGUACCCUCAGAAAAAGCCACGGCUAACUACGUGCCAGCAGCCGCGGUAAUACGUAGGUGGCGAGCGUUACUCGGAAUUACUAGGUGUAAAGCGUAUGUAGGUGGUUAGAUAAGUCUAUGGUGAAAUUUCCUGGCUCAACUGGGAAGGGUACAUAGAUACUGUCUGGCUUGAGUGGGGGGAAGACGUAGGUG